GAGCAUGAUAAUCUCCACUCUUACCUUUGUUUUUAAGUUGCUGAAAUAUUGUUAAGAAAAAUUUCAGGUGUGUGCUUUUGUUCUUACUUGGACUAUGUGACAAUUGGAAGAUGUUUCGGCUAGAAAAGCAAAGGAUAAUUGGCCUUCUGUGAUGUUUGCAAUGGCAGGAGGGGUGGUACUUAGCCUUGGAAAUCUCUCAACUCAGUAUGCUUGGGCUUUUGUUGGCUUAUUAGUCACAGAAGUGAUCACUGCAAGCAUAACAGUUGUUAUAGGAACAACCUUGAAUUACUUUUUAGACAAUAGAAUUAAUAGAGCCGAGAUCCUUUUCCUUGGCGUUGGCUGCUUCUUGGUUGCAGUUUGCCUUGCUUCUACUGUCCACUCAUCUAAU